UACGUAGGGUGCAAGCGUUGUCCGGAAUUAUUGGGCGUAAAGAGCUCGUAGGCGGCUCAGUAAGUCGGGUGUGAAACCUCCAGGCUCAACCUGGAGACGCCACCCGAUACUGCUGUGGCUUGAGUCCGGUAGGGGAGCGUGGAAUUCCUGGUGUAGCGGUGAAAUGCGCAGAUAUCAGGAGGAACACCAGCGGCGAAGGCGGCGCUCUGGGCCGGAACUGACGCUGAGGAGCGAAAGCGUGGGUAGCAAACAGG
rnacentral:rRNA from 1 species